rnacentral:rRNA from 1 species
UGGGGAAUAUUGCACAAUGGGCGCAAGCCUGAUGCAGCCAUGCCGCGUGUAUGAAGAAGGCCUUCGGGUUGUAAAGUACUUUCAGCGGGGAGGAAGGGAGUAAAGUUAAUACCUUUGCUCAUUGACGUUACCCGCAGAAGAAGCACCGGCUAACUCCGUGCCAGCAGCCGCGGUAAUACGGAGGGUGCAAGCGUUAAUCGGAAUUACUGGGCGUAAAGCGCACGCAGGCGGUUUGUUAAGUCAGAUGUGAAAUCCCCGGGCUCAACCUGGGAACUGCAUCUGAUACUGGCAAGCUUGAGUCUCGUAGAGGGGGGUAGAAUUCCAGGUGUAGCGGUGAAAUGCGUAGAGAUCUGGAGGAAUACCGGUGGCGAAGGCGGCCCCCUGGACGAAGACUGACGCUCAGGUGCGAAAGCGUGGGGUGCAAACAGG